UAGCAUACUUAUUCUAAUUGUUGUCACACACACAAAAAAAGCAUACUUAUUCUAAUUACUAUACUUAGGCCAUCUCCAACGUAACGGUAAAACUGUAUUUUGAUGUGAUGCAAUAUACUUUUUCACUCCAACCCAACUGUAAAUAUUACACUAUAAUAGUGUGAUUCCUUUAUUUUGUACAGUACUCCACUAUAUUUGGCGUGCUACUGUAGCAACGGUAAAAUUAAAUAUAUAUUUUUUUUUACUUUA
rnacentral:sRNA from 1 species